CCAGAGUGUUAUAAGGUAUAACAAUGCUAAUUGGAACCAAAAAAAAAUCCAAGAUUGACUAUCAACAAAUAGAUAGAUCUUUACAUAACAAAAGGUACGAAAUCAUGGGGUCAAAUAAACAAAUGUGUAUUUUACGCUCUACUAUGGAGUCUAAAAUUAUUGCUUUUGACUCUGCUGGUAAAGAGGUAGAAUGGAUAAAUAACUUGUUAUAUGAUAUUUCCAUAUAGCCAAAACCAAUACCUGCAAUCACA
rnacentral:lncRNA from 1 species